CCCACAUGUCAUUAUUUGGCUCAUUUCUAUCCUUAGGGAACAAUGUAGAGUCCUCAUCCUCAUCAGCCACUUAUUGAGACUGAACAGUGUCAAUGUCAGACUGACUCUCACUUGAGUUUUCAUUAUCUGCCUCCAUGUUGGCAAAAUUUCCUUUCAUGAGGGUUGAUGUGGGGCUUUCACAUUAGGCCUAUUAGUUUUAAGUAAGGGGUGGCCAUGGCCAGUUCUAGUCUAGUUCCCUUGUGUCUCCUUUCCUCAGCAUUCCACUGGUUAUUAUUAACUUAUAACACAAUGCUGUGUAAUUAAAUCUGUACUUAGUGCUGAAAAAACAGCUAAGAAGCAAUCUGAGCCUUCUUUCAGCAUUCAUGCACUGUUAUACAAAAUCUCAGAUUUCUGUCCCUGGAUCAAGCUAGCCCCAAGGUUAUUUGGCUCUUCUGUCCCAACAUUUCUUAACAUUUAUAUUGUUGGUUCUUCAUGUUGUCACCAAGGUGGAGUUCUUCAUGUGCCAUUCUAGAAUUUGGUGUUGACCACAAUGUCCACAGAUGAAAAAUUUUCACUUUUUAUUUUUUGUCCCCCCCCCAAAUUAACUAGAUGAAUGGUGAUUUGUGUCUCUCAAGAGAAUUCCUUCCAAAGUCAGCUUGAAAUGUUAUUUAUGUCAAUUGUCUAUGUACUUUUGCCAUUUAUUUUCCAAGUAAAAAACACUUGGUAGCAGCCUCUUAAGAGAAAUAUUUUGUUGCAUACUGUUAUCUAAAGUGUAUUCACGAGCUUUUUGGAAGAACCAGGGAAGCAAACAACAAAAGUGAAUUGGAAUUGAAAAGAGUGAAACACUCAGGAAAUUUUCUUUCUUUCUUUCUUUCUUUCUUUCUUUCUUUCUUUCUUUCUUUCUUUCUUUCUUUCUUUCUUUCUUUCUUUCUUUCUUUCUUUCAGAGGCACCCAUGGAAUAUGGAAGUUGCCAGGAGAGGGCUCAAACUUGCACUUCCACAGCAACCAAAGCUAUUGCAGUCAGAUCCUUAAUUCAUUGUGCCACAACAUGAACUCCCAGGACAUUUUCAAAGUGAAUUUCUAAAUAUAUAUCAUACCGACCAUUUCCUCCCUUCCUUCCUUUCCUUUUUUUCUUUCAUUAGCUACAUUAUGAAAUCUGACUUUUACACCAGCUGUCAUGUAUGAUUGAAUGGUAACCAAAUGGAGGACAGCAUUGAAAGGGAGGACAGAAGUCUUAUUUUAGUAACAGAAAAUAUAAAUAUAGAAUUUUGAUGUAAUUUAUUUUAGAUCCCCUCCCUCUACUUUCUCCAAGGAAAUUUAAUGGCUAAUGGCUGGUAAUCAGACACAUGUAUAAAAUGCCAGAUAUUGUUUUAGGGAAAAGUUUAGAAGGGUAGUGAGUUAUGGGACAAAAAACAAACAGAAGGUGAAAUUCUGAAGACCAGAUGUUUCACUGAGUAAAAUGUGUAACGAAGAAAACUGGUUGAACAGAAGAAAUUAUUUUCCAGGCUUUUUUCAAUCUACUGAGAAAGUAUGCUAUCACUGUUUUCCCUGCCAUGUCUUUCUUGUUUCCUACUUAGAGGGAAAAUCUUAAAAUGUGCAGCAUCAAUAUUAUAAUGAUGUAAAUGAUGUAUAGUAUUUUCUGCUGGCUCAAAGAGUGGUGGCAUUUCUGGAAGGAUGAAAGCUGGGUCACACAGCCAGCGCAUGAAUUGGAGGUGACCCACAAAAGACAGUGCUGCAGUUUUCCAUAUCUAGAGGCUUUUUCUGGGUCAAAAGAAUGCACUUUGCCUUUGCCUCAGACAACUUGAGCCAGCUGGACUCUAUCCAAGAAUAUAAUGCUGACAAAUCCCAGGGAAGCAAGAAGCAGCAGCCUCUUUCUCACUGUAUACCAUGUGAUAUCAACAUUGCUCUGAAAAGUCUUUGUCCAUUUGACACAUAGUAACAACUAAACCUUGCAUUUCUGCAUUUGUUAGAUGCCAAAUAGUGGCCUUGAGUAUUGAGUCAGAAGUUUCUGCACCUACAGAUCACUUAGUGUACACUAUAAAGUACUUCUGUCUAUAAAGAUUAAAAUACCCUCUUAAUCCUUAAGGGAGACUGAAGAAAGAUUUACUGUACACCUUACGCAUAUGCUCACUUAAUGCUAAGAACAACAAUUACUUAUUUUGUAGAUCAGGAACUGAAUAUUGGAAUCAUUAAGAACCCUGGAAUGAUGCUAUUUUUACCCUUAGUUGUGAGAAGAAUAAAGUGAAAUUUACUUGUGUCCUAGGAGAUAAGAGCAUGAAUAUAGAUAAUAGCAUUAUUUUUAAUAGAGAAAAACAAACCCAGAGAGUACUCAAGUGUGAGAAGUAUAAGUAAAUUAAUUAUGGUAUACAUAUAUCCAAUGGGAUACUAUAGAGCAGAGGAUAUAAAUAAAAUACAUCUAUAUAUGUUAACAUGGAUAACCCUCAAAAACAUGAUGUUGAAAGAAAAUUUCUAAAAACAGAAAAAUGUUAUUCUAUUAUGGAAUUCAAAAUAUGAAAUAAUUUGAAUUGAAUCUCACAAAAUGAAAUAAUAUAUUAUUUAGGAACACAAAGAUAUAGUAUAUUGUAAAACUGCAAAGGAAAAUUAAAAAAAUGAUACAUCAAAAAAUUCAUCUGGAGUAAGGAGAAUAUACCCAUGAGGUUUGAUAAAGUUGUUUCUUAAAAUGUAUGGUGCAUACCUAGGAGUUAAAUUUUAUUAUUGUUUUAAACUGUAUAGACUCAUUAUGUACACCCUUCUUAUACACAAUGCAAAGAAGAACAAGAAAAUAGAUAAAAAAAAUCAAUUUAUAAUGUAAAUUCAGUGCCCUGUCCACAAUAUUACAGCAACUAUGAAUGAUAUCCAGAAUUCUGUUUACUUCCACGUAUAAGCAGAAAUAUUUGUUAAGACACUAAAGAAGCGAUAUGGAGGACUAAAUAUAAGAAACAAUAUAUAUAAAUGCAUAUAAGAAAGUUCAUCCAAGCUAUAACCAGAAAUCAUACAACCCAGUAAAAUAAGAGCUGAAAGAUGUGAUUAAAAAAUGGGCAGGAGUUCCCAUUUUAGUGAAGUGGAUAUGAAUCCGUCUAGUAACUGUGAGGAUGCAGGUUUGAUCCCUGGCCUUGCUCAGUGGGUUAAGGAUCUGGCAUUGC
rnacentral:lncRNA from 1 species